GACGAACGCUGGCGGCGUGCCUAACACAUGCAAGUCGAACGGAAAGGCCCUGCUUUUGUGGGGUGCUCGAGUGGCGAACGGGUGAGUAACACGUGAGUAACCUGCCCUUGACUUUGGGAUAACUUCAGGAAACUGGGGCUAAUACCGGAUAGGAGCUCCUGCUGCAUGGUGGGGGUUGGAAAGUUUCGGCGGUUGGGGAUGGACUCGCGGCUUAUCAGCUUGUUGGUGGGGUAGUGGCUUACCAAGGCUUUGACGGGUAGCCGGCCUGGGAGGGUGACCGGCCACAUUGGGACUGAGGUACGGCCCAGACUCCUACGGGAGGCAGCAGUGGGGAAUAUUGCACAAUGGGCGGAAGCCUGAUGCAGCAACGCCGCGUGCGGGAUGACGGCCUUCGGGUUGUAAACCGCUUUCGCCUGUGACGAAGCGUGAGUGACGGUAAUGGGUAAAGAAGCACCGGCUAACUACGUG
rnacentral:rRNA from 1 species